GAUGGUGUAGCUCAGUGGUAGAGUGCCCGCUUAGCAUGCAUGAGGUCCUGGGUUCAAUCCCCAGUACUAACA
rnacentral:tRNA from 1 species